UAUAGUUAAUCGAUAUUCGUA
rnacentral:piRNA from 1 species